AACGCAAAUGGCGCUUUCUGGUAUCCCAGGAAGCAUGCCUGUUUGAGGACCGUAGGAGAAUGCUACAUCAUCGCAGGGGGGCGGGGUAGUCAAAUUGACUGUCCCCCUCCGGAUGGACAGUGGAUUACCGGCGUCGAUAGGGUCGAUGCUUGUGCUCCGCAAGUGAUUUCACGAGGGUGGAAUGAAAUUGACGGUGGACCUCCCAGGCCAGAAGUUAAUAGGCGGGAGCUUCUUUUCUUUCCCGGGUCUCCUGGGAGGGGAGGAGAUGGCUCUUUCUCUUUAACGGCCGACGAUCUGGAAGAAACCGGAAAAUGAAAGCCAACCCGUGAAGCGGAGGUGUUGGAAGUCUCCUCCCUCUCCGCGAACCGGGGGUUGUGUGGGGGAUAAAGGGAUAUCCUAUAUCUCUCCUUCCUCUCCAAUCCCACCGAACAUGGUCUCAAAUCAGGCAAGAGAACCCGCUGAACUUAA
rnacentral:misc_RNA from 1 species